rnacentral:rRNA from 1 species
AGUGAACGCUGGCGGUAGGCCUAACACAUGCAAGUCGAACGGCAGCACAGUAAGAGCUUGCUCUUACGGGUGGCGAGUGGCGGACGGGUGAGGAAUACAUCGGAAUCUACUUUUUCGUGGGGGAUAACGUAGGGAAACUUACGCUAAUACCGCAUACGACCUACGGGUGAAAGUAGGGGAUCUUCGGACCUUGCGCGAUUGAAUGAGCCGAUGUCGGAUUAGCUAGUUGGCGGGGUAAAGGCCCACCAAGGCGACGAUCCGUAGCUGGUCUGAGAGGAUGAUCAGCCACACUGGGACUGAGACACGGUCCAGACUCCUACGGGAGGCAGCAGUGGGGAAUAUUGGACAAUGGGCGCAAGCCUGAUCCAGCCAUACCGCGUGGGUGAAGAAGGCCUUCGGGUUGUAAAGCCCUUUUGUUGGGAAAGAAAAGCAGCAGGUUAAUACCCCGCUGUUCUGACGGUACCCAAAGAAUAAGCACCGGCUAACUUCGUG